rnacentral:rRNA from 1 species
AACGAACGCUGGCGGCAGGCUUAACACAUGCAAGUCGAACGCCCCGCAAGGGGAGUGGCAGACGGGUGAGUAACGCGUGGGAACGUGCCCUUCGCUUCGGAAUAGCCCCGGGAAACUGGGAGUAAUACCGAAUACGCCGUAUUGGGAAAGAUUUAUCGGCGAAGGAUCGGCCCGCGUUAGAUCAGCUAGUUGGCGGUGUAAUGGACCACCAAGGCUACGAUCUAUAGCUGGUCUGAGAGGAUGAUCAGCCACACUGGGACUGAGACACGGCCCAGACUCCUACGGGAGGCAGCAGUGGGGAAUCUUGGACAAUGGGCGCAAGCCUGAUCCAGCCAUGCCGCGUGAGUGAAGAAGGCCUUAGGGUUGUAAAACUCUUUCGCCGGAGAAGAUAAUGACGGUAUCCGGAGAAGAAGCCCCGGCUAACUUCGUGCCAGCCGCCGCUGUAACAC